AAGGGAUUGGCCUGCGAUGCAGAAAACUUUCUAUGUAGAUUUCUAUAGUCGUGCAUAGCUAUUGUCGGAGUAGUUAUUACUCAGAAGGCUUUACUGCAAAACCCUGUUCAGUUAGUUAGCACUGCUGUCGGAUUGUUACACGAAUGUGAAACUUCAGUCCUCGGACAGCUUGUCGGUGUUGCAACGUUUGGCCACCAGGGGGCGCAGCUCUCACGGAAACCUCUCCGUGGGAGAGCCACGCCGGCUCGAGAGGUUCUGCCCGGUACUGCCCUCGUACCAGCACCGCUGCAGCUACAGCGAGCGUGUGUGCGAGCUGCUUGGAGUCGGAAAGCGCGUGCAGAUGUGCAACGUGUCUUUCGGUCUGUAGGAGCUGGAGCCUCAUUUGCCACCAGGUGGCAGCAUGGGAGAAAGAAAAACUUCAUUUCCCCAUUCCGGUAGAGGCAAAGAUGACCAUGCUUAGGGCUUCCCAGGUGACCGUGAUCCUUUGCAAACAAUUGGAGUCAUCACAGCUCUACAUCUGCUGAAGAAAGCAGAAGUGCGAGUCUAGCCAGAAUGGGAGAUCUUUGUGGAUUUCUGGAGAGUGCUAAUGAGAGCAGCUUGUGAGCUUCUUCUACCCAGCCCAUCUGGUACAGAGCAUCGGCACAAAGGAUCCGUGAUGCUUCAUCAGAAGUGUCCAGCUCCAUCAAGAGAGAGGCCAGCUGGUAAACCCCGAGGGCAUCCCUGAAGAAAAAAAAAGAGGAAAGAAAAAAAAAAGAGAAAGGAAAAAUACAACUUUCAGGCUGAACUGCCUCCUGGGUACCUCUUCUUCUGGAGCAUCUUCUGUCCCUCUUCCUGGAGAACCUUUAGCAGCAAUCCUCUUUGGUUCCAUGGCACGUAGGCCUUGAUGGUGAAGAUGGUUUCUUCUAGCUUUAACUGGCAAGCUGUGAUGUAAUCCAGGGCUGUCAAGUAAUGGCUGCCACCAGAAAUCCGGAUAAGCCCACGUCCACAUAAGGCUUUAAUACAGCUGUUAGGAUGUGGGGAAUCAUGCUCAAUGACCUUUUGAAAGUCCUGCAGGGCUUGCUGAUGAUCAUGAGAAUGGAGGGCACAGAAUCCUCGCAGUGCCAGGAGAGUAUUGUGAUAAGUUUUCUGCUCUGCUGCCAGGAGCUGGUCACAGAUUUCCAGGGCAGCUCCGAUGUGUCCAUGCAGGAGAUGGCAGUCUGCCAACCGGACACUGAGCUCACGUUUGGACCCCGGGGAGAUACGCAGGAGGAAAAGGACUGUUUGGAUUACAGAAGGGAGCAGUUCAGUACAACGAUUGCUUCUGAGUUCGGUCCGAGCACGCACAGCCUCCCUGUAUGCUGCAAACUUCACUUCCAGGACAGUUCGAGCCUGUUCUUCUAUCUUCUCAGUGUCAGGUGGCGAGAAAAGCUCCUCAAAGUGCUUCAUUGCCAGGUCAGGGCUUGCUGCAAAGGCUUCUGCUAAAUCCUGCAUCAUUUCCUGCAUCCGGCCACCCAAAAAGAAAUAUGCAGCAGCCCGUUCCAAGAGCAGACCCAGCAUUUUCUCAUCUCUGAGACUAUUAUCUACUGACAGUCCCCUGAGGGCCUUGCUACAAACUACCACACACUCCUCAAAUUUGCUUUUCUUAAAGAGGUAAGCUGCCUGCGCUCUGCAAACCCAGACGUCACCUGGUGCCACUGCAGACAAGAAGGCAUAGCAGUUGCCCAGCCAGUGGUCCAAGGAACUGCCAUCUGGGCUUUCUUUCUGGUACGUUGAAAGAAAAUUAGAGAAGGCCUGGAUGAUCUGCGGCAGGUGUUCUUUUUGCCUGGUACACAUGUAGGCCACUGCCUCAGCCUGAUGCCUCACAAAGACUUGGAUGUAGUCCGCAACUCCCUUCCUAAUCUGUGUCCCCGACAGCACCCAUGCCAAUGCCCUCAGCAGCAGCAGUUCUACUGAAUACUUGGGGUGAGCCUUGAGCAGGACAUUGCAUUUGCUCACCACCUCCUCUGAGCAUCCCCGCCUGAGCAGGGCCUCCAGUUUAUAUACUGAGGACAGGACGUUGUCAGGACUUAGGGUGGAGAGAAAGACAGCAGCUAUUUCCACUCUGAGCGACGCGAUGGCCACGUUCUUGCUCUGGAUCUUGGGAAUCUGGCUCUUACCCCUGCACCACAUCUCCAAGGUGGCUAUCACUCUCUCCCAGAGCCCGUUCUCCAAGGAGUUCACUUUCUGCAGGGCUGUGGGGGCACUGCAGCUGAAGGCGGCCACGUAGAAAGCCGUGGCUGUGGGCAGCUCCUGCUGGGCGAGGUGUUGGUCCCCUUCUCUGCAGAGCAGCGCGGCGAGCCCCUGCGGUGACAUUGCCAGCACCUGUAUCUUCACAAGGGGCGUCACGUGAGCAUCUACAACAGCCUGUAAAACAGAAAACCAGCAUGAGGGGCUGCUGGGCUCAAUUUCUCUGCUCUUGGGGCACGUGGCUUCCCUAUGGACAGACGCAAGCCAAAGCCCUGUGAUGAGCUGGACGUUGUCUUACUGGGGAGCAAAGCCAUGAGAAGAAGCGCACAACAGAGGUUAACGGUCCACAGCCGCACGUCUGCCCCACGAGUGAGCAGGAAGGAUGAGGCCAUGAGCAGGGCAGGGCUCCUCGCGGGGCCCCGGGGGUCUCGCCCUCCCUCUGACCCCCCACAAGUACCUGGCAGCGGCGUUCGGCGCAGCGGCCCGCGGCUCCCGAGGCGAGAUGAAAAAGCCCUGAGCCUGCACUCGGCCUUGCCAGUCGCUGUUUCCUGUCACUUGCGAUGGCCUCUUCCCAGGACGAGUAUUUCUGGCGAUGUCAGUGAAGUUCCCUGUGUGCAGCUCUGGAGGAACCCAUCGCAGGCAGCUCUGGAGCUCUCUGUGGAAAAAUAAAGAAUGAAGUUAAAAAUGGAUAAUGCUUCCACACUUGUGAAGAGGAGACACGUUUAGAUUCUGAAGAAUUCAUUCCUCAGCACAGCAGCAAACGGAGCCCAUUGGUGUGCACUGCGAGCUCCAAUUUCUGUGAGUCCUGCAAGACUCACGCGCUGGUUAUCAAGCUUCUCAACGCUGUCAUUUUGAAUGUCAUGGGGAAGCAUUCAUGUCAAGAGAUCCUUAUUGUGGAAAAUAGUUUUCUUGGUGUUAUCUUGCAGUCUAAAUAGGUUAGAGGGCCGACAAAGAACGCUGUGCACACAUUGCUGGUGAGCAGUGAGGUACGUCACAAGGAGAGCGACCUGUCUGCAACACGACGGUGCGUCUGCUGCAGCUGAAGACUGAACCCACAUUCCCUGCACUGUCUGAAUUGCCAAAGUCACACUGGGAGUGUUCAGCUGGGCUACCACUCUGAUGGCGGGGCAGCACUCCUGGGUUACGGAUCACAAAACGUGGAGAGUCAGGAGAGUUUGUAGAGGUGUACCCAUGGAGGGUGGUGUUAUCUCCUGUUUCGGAAUCUGCCUGUAAGUGAGGAGCUGCUGAAUGAAGCUGGCAUCUCCCUGGGAGAUGGUACCUGGCCCUCUCUGCUUUGGUGGCUCCAUUUAAAAGUUGGCAGAAUACCCAGAACAGCAUCAGAAUUAAUUUAGUAUAAAAUUAGUUGACUUAAAGUAAACAGAAUGAAAUAAAAUAAAUCCUAUGGUAUUAGAGCCCUCUUGGCCGGAUUGCUGCAUGCCUAGCACAGAUUUAUGGCCUGCUGUUGCUAGAACUUUGAAAAGGCUGUGCAGUGCACAAGAACCCUGCAAGGCCUGCUCCAGGGAGCGCCCAGCAGCACAGGGAUGGGGAGGCUUGGAGGUCCCCCACGAUAAGAUGCUGGAGGGGAGGAUGCCAUGGGAGAGCAAGAAGGGGCUCAGUGGGAAUGGGGAGGCAACACAAAGGCAAGGUGCUGAUCCAGCGUGCCUACCCAAUCCAAGGCACUCCAAGGAGGUCUCUCAUUCUGAUGUAUCUGCUAAGCACGUUGAACCAGUUUGCACAUGCGAGGCCAGAACACAAUCCUUCUCAUGGUAAAUGGGAACGUCAGCUGCUUCGCUCUCUUACUGGCGUUUAAAAUUUUUGCAGCAAAUAACAGAAAAUCUGAAAGGACAUCAGAAAUGGAUUUAAAGGACUCCAGGGAAAUCAAACGUUUCCUGUUCCAACAGCUUCUUUAUCAUAACUUGCUUUCUCAGUCUCUGAAUGAUGUUCUAUUAAUCCUGGUGUGCAGUGAUUACUAUUAGAUGCAGAGCUGGAUUGAACCUCAAUUUGUGAAAUAACCUUUUCUCUGUCUUCUAUAAGUCCAGCAUGGCAAAUUUUGGAUAGGGGUCUACUGACCAAGUGGAUAAUUGUGUUCCAAUGCAUCCUGUGAAUAAUGCAGACAAAAAACCUUAAGUGAAUAAUUCAUUUUGCCUCCAAUCAGUUUGAAUUAGUCUAUUCAUGUAUGUAUCCUUUCCAGUCUGCCUGUCUCUGUGCAUGCAUGUAUUUACAUAGCAAUGUUGUAAUUCUCAGGUACUUAAAUAUCAAAUAGCUGCUACUUCGUGCAUAUGUUCCUGACUAUUCUGUGUAGUUGCAUACGUAAAAGUCAGCAUUCUAUAUUGUACCCUAUGAAACGUGACACAUCAUACUCGUUGCUGCGUUGGCUAAGAUUAAUAUCAAAAAACCUUCAAAUGCAGGCAAAUCUUUUUGGCCUGGCAAUGGAUUACAGAACAAAUCUUUUGGGCUCUUCAAUGUUCAGAUGCAAGUUUUCAGCAGUGCUGUAUGUUGCCAAAGGUACCUUACUUUUACCCUGGCAGCAGCUUCUGGGUCCUCGUAGGUCAAGCACAGCCUAUGAGCAGGAGGAAGCAGUUGGCUUUGGAGGUGGGGGUCCUGGAGGGGUAUGGAUAGCACUGAAAUUGCCUGUGCAUCACUGAUAGCUGCCUGCAGCUCAGGAGCCUUCAUCUGAAAAGCAGAGGGAAGGAGCUGAUUUCCUGAUGGAGUGGCCAAAGCCUGGGGAUGUUCCCAAUGGAAUGGGCUGUGCGUCCUCCUGCCUCAGACAGACAACAAGGUGUGAGCACACAGCUCCUAAUGGGGGCUGGCAGAUGGUUUAUCUUUGCCUGAGAGGUGCUGCUCUGCAGAGAGAGGCGGAUGCUCAUUUUUAUUCCUUGUUGUGGGCUUUUCAGUUUCCAGUCCAUUACAAGUGACAUAGCUGAUGAGGAGCCUGUCUGUCAGCGCUGUCCCUGGAGGGGCGAAUCUUCAUCCCUCCCUGCACUCAAACCACAGCUGCCUGCACGCAGUUUUCGGGAUCAUGCUGGGCACCAGGUGAGGGCGUCUGUGCUGGAAGCCCUGCCAGGCCCUGUGCCACACACCCCUCUUAGCUCUGAGCGGGCCAUGGCAGCUCCAGAGCAAACCUCUUCUCCACUGGCGAUGUCAUUGCCCAUGAAAGAGAACGGGCGACAAAACUCAUGUCUGAUAUUCCAAUAAUUAUUUUCCUAGGGUUGAUCCCUAUCCUGCAGCAACACCAUUAGGAAAGUUAUAUGGCAGACUGACUUGAAAUAAUUACCAUUUAGAGCUAGCAGUCUUCUCAAUUCAUAGAAAUCUUCAUUUAUAAUUCAGGGAUUGGAGGAACUGAAGCAACCUUUCUGCAGGAUGGCGCAUUGCUCCACUGUUUGUCUGACAGACCCGUGUUAAUUGCCCUGCGUGGUUUUGAUAUAGAGCCAAGAAUGGGUUGUAGAAAAAUGUAUAUCACUAAAACUUAGGUCCCCAAAGUCAAAAGUAAAACAAACAGUGAGAGAUGAUUAUCUGAAGCAGGCCCUUACUAGCUGCACACAGACAAAAGUCAUUCCUAUGUUUUGUUUUGCUUUUAUUUUUGUUCCUUUAGACCAAGUAGUGUUGCUGUCUGUAUUUGGGAAUGUCUUGAGUUGGGCAGACGGUGCAUCUAUUCUGCUUUAUCCCUUUUCUCUUCUCUUUGAAAGCCCGUGGCUGGCUCUGGGUGGACUCUUUGUGUGGCCUUCAGAGAGUCACUUAACCUUCCUGUGCAUCAGUUUACUCAUUUGUAAAAGGAGUAUUAUAAUAAUAGGCACCCCUUAGGGGCUCUUCCAGAUUUCAAUAAUUAAUGCUGGUAAAGCGGUUUGUGAGCCUUAGAUUAAAGGUGCUAAAUAAAGGCAAUAUAUAAAUAUUUUUUACUCCAGCUCUUUAUAGAAAGAGCAAAGCGAUAGCCCGAUAACUCUUGGAUUUAUAGCUGGGAGUUAAUGUUACUGUGCUCAGAGUGGAUUUUAAUUUCUGUGGUUCUGAUUCAGCAGAGCUCUUAAUUCCAUCCUUAAUUUUAGCAAGGCCCAUUAAUUUCCAGACGCAUGGCUCCCAGCCUGGGAUGCUUUGUUGCAUUGGUUCCUUUAAGAGCGGUGCUGGACAAGAAGGAUCAGCUGUGCAUGUAUGUGCAUACGUGUGUCCAUGUGUGUUCAAGACCUCAGCGAGAGCAUCACUGCAACCAGAAUACAAUCAGCAAGGUAGCAAAAUUCAUCCAGGAUGUAAAUCAAUAAAUGUAACGGGAGAGAAACUACAAGCUGUGCAUUUCCACGGAGGCUGAGGUUUGUGGGAUGGAUGGACGCUGCUGAGCAUGACCUAAUGCCGCAGGAAAGAAAAGCAACCACAGACCUCAGCAUCUGAACAGCCUGAAUAUUGAACCAGAGGUCCUUGAGUAAUUGUCCUUUCUUCACUCUGGGGGUGAAAAGGGUACAUUAGACAUUCACUAGCUGCAAAUGGCACCUGACAUCUCUUUAAGUGAAAGUCAGCUCGGAAUUUUUUUUAAUGGCCAAGCAUAAAUCUUUUAAAUUAUAAAUCAAUAAAUAGUUAAUUCAAUAAUAGGAAUCUUUUAAAUAUUUAAUGAGUCAUAUGCAGAAUGGCUCUAUAACUGGAUGUUGAUGGAACUGUGUCAAAGGAAUUUGAAUCAAACUUUUCUAAACUCCCCAUAUUAAAAUAGUUAUUGAUUCAAACAUAAACUAUGAAGACUGCUGCAAAAGCAGGGGGGGAGGGGGUCAGGGUUAGCAUACAUUUUCUCACCCAAGAAAAUGUAGAACUAGCAGCUUAUUUUGAGUCAUGUAUUCUUGAGCCUUUCGGGUCAUUUUAGUGCUGCCAGAACAAAGCUGAGUAAGAACCUAUGCAGACAGCAUUGUGUGUGUGUGCAUAUCCAUUAAAAUUUUGUUUCAGUGGCAGCUAUGGCCUUAAUAAAAGCAGUGGCCAUCUGCCUCUCGUUAAAGGAUUCUGCUAACCAGCCCUGACAUCGAUAUCCUGAACUGUCUCCGUCUGAAACUGCCCCAAAGUUUUAAUUUCUUUACCAGAAUUUCCAUGUGGAAGACAGUGGGAAUUGUACCUACAGGUGCUAGACCUCAAUUAGCUGCUUUCCAGUUGUUUUCUGGGGGAGAUCGGUAGUCAGUGUCUACUGCUAUUAGCUCCGUGCUGCGCCAAGUCAGCAGUUGUAUUUCUAAGUUCCCUAAACUGGAGGAAUCUCGUGCUUCAUCCUGCAGACCGCAUCUAUGGCACAGCAGAUCCUGCAUCUUCACAUAUUGUGGAGUCCAACCUUUACUGCCAAAGCAAUAGUGUAGCUCUCGUGCCUCUCUCCUCAGCU
rnacentral:lncRNA from 1 species